ACAAUAUGUAAAUUCAAUCAUCUUCACUUUGAAAGUUACAUCUCGUUUAAAAAUCUUGGACACUGUUCUCCGAUAUUGUGAUGACAUCAGGAAGAAUAUGACGCCUUGAAGAGACGCAUGUAUUACGAAAAAUAAACUGCAAAUCUGGCCAACUGACGUGAAUUUGACAUGAAACAGUUUUUUCUAACAGGAGUGUUCACUGUCAGAGUUUUCAAAGCAAUUUUUUAAAUCAAAUUAUAUAAUUUUUGGCGCUGUAUCAAAGCC
ensembl:antisense_RNA H06H21.36 ncRNA